GGCCAUCUUCCCUGUCAAAAUUCUCGACGAUUUGACCGAUUGACCAGUUCAAUAAGGCGACCUACUGUCUAUACCGAGGAAGCCACGAAAACUUUUUACUUAUUACUUUUUAAACCAAAGUUUCGGUCCUUAGACGAUCACUAUGCGUAAACUGAUAGUUGUUUUGGCGAUUCCCGCACUACUCGUCUUUGUCCUCGCCCAGCGGGACCCCUUCGAUUUGUCGCCCGGGGUCAGUCCGGUAAACACCGUCUAUGGCGGACGGUUCGUUCAGAAUGACGUCAACCCGUACGAGUUGGACGAUGGCGGAGAUCCAUUUGACAAGCUUAACAAUGUCCUUCUCUUACUUUCCGGUCUGACACUGUAUUGGUACUUCUUCCUGAACGGAACCGGAAAUAUGAUAUCGACCACCGGAUAGACAUUACCGAUGGGAUGGUAUAUGCCUAUAUAGCUACACUCCAUACCAGUACGAUGACCAUAAGCUGACCAGUCCCUGACCGAACCUAACACUACCGACGUCCCUAACUACAAACCUGUGUAUCUUCUCUAACUUACUGAAUUGUCGUGUAGCAGCGCUGGGGAAGUGCCACUGCUAAUAUAAUGUCACUAAUGGGUUACAUAUAAACUCAAUCCAUUAUUAACAACUAAAACAUAAGCCAGAUCCGGAAACAUCCAGAUUCCGGAUAUUUAGUAAAAUAUAAAAAAAAAAAAAUCAAUUGCCGGUAACGAUUAUCCGGAAUAUUAUAUACCCAUACCACUCCACUCCUGACCAGUAAAUAACCCAUAAUCAUAACAGUCGUUAAGUUUCUGAAGUAACUAUUUACAGAGAUGACAAGGUUUCCUAAUAAAAUGUGUCUCACAG